rnacentral:rRNA from 1 species
AUUGAACGCUGGCGGAAUGCUUUACACAUGCAAGUCGAACGGCAGCACGGACUUCGGUCUGGUGGCGAGUGGCGAACGGGUGAGUAAUGUAUCGGAACGUGCCCAGUCGUGGGGGAUAACGUAGUGAAAAUUACGCUAAUACCGCAUACGAUCUAUGGAUGAAAGCGGGGGAUCGCAAGACCUCGCGCGAUUGGAGCGGCCGAUAUCAGAUUAGGGAGUUGGGGGGGUAAAGGCCCACCAAGCCAACGAUCUGUAGCUGGUCUGAGAGGACGAACAGCCACACUGGAACUGAGACACGGUCAAGACUCCUACGGGAGGCAGCAGUGGGGAAUUUUGGACAAUGGGCGAAAGCCUGAUCCAGCCAUUCCGCGUGCAUGAUGAAGGCCCUCGGGUUGUAAACUGCUUUUGUACAGAACGAAAAGGUUUCUACUAAUACUAGGAGCUCAUGACGGUACUGUAAGAAUAAGCACCGGCUAACUACGUGCCAGCCGCCGCCGUAA